CCUACGGGAGGCAGCAGUGGGGAAUAUUGCACAAUGGGGGAAACCCUGAUGCAGCGACGCCGCGUGAGUGAAGAAGUAUUUCGGUAUGUAAAGCUCUAUCAGCAGGAACGAGACAAGACGGUACCUGACUAAGAAGCCCCGGCUAACUACGUGCCAGCAGCCGCGGUAAUACGUAGGGGGCAAGCGUUAUCCGGAAUCACUGGGUGUAAAGGGAGCGUAGACGGCUGAGCAAGCCUGAAGUGAAAGGCGGGGGCCCAACCCCCGGACUGCUUUGGGAACUGUACGGCUGGAGUGCAGGUGAGGUAAGUGGAAUUACUAGUGUAGCGGUGAAAUGCGUAGAUAUUAGGAGGAACACCAGUGGCGAAGGCGGCUUACUAAACUGCCACUGACAUUGAUGCUCGAAAGUGUGGGUAUCAAACAGGAUUAGAUACCCCUGUAGUC
rnacentral:rRNA from 1 species